rnacentral:rRNA from 1 species
UUGAACGCUGGCGGCAGGCCUAACACAUGCAAGUCGAGCGGAUGAAGGGAGCUUGCUCCUGGAUUCAGCGGCGGACGGGUGAGUAAUGCCUAGGAAUCUGCCUGGUAGUGGGGGAUAACGUCCGGAAACGGGCGCUAAUACCGCAUACGUCCUGAGGGAGAAAGUGGGGGAUCUUCGGACCUCACGCUAUCAGAUGUGCCUAGGUCGGAUUAGCUAGUUGGUGGGGUAAAGGCCUACCAAGGCGACGAUCCGUAACUGGUCUGAGAGGAUGAUCAGUCACACUGGAACUGAGACACGGUCCAGACUCCUACGGGAGGCAGCAGUGGGGAAUAUUGGACAAUGGGCGAAAGCCUGAUCCAGCCAUGCCGCGUGUGUGAAGAAGGUCUUCGGAUUGUAAAGCACUUUAAGUUGGGAGGAAGGGCAGUAAGUUAAUACCUUGCUGUUUUGACGUUACCAACAGAAUAAGCACCGGCUAACUUCGUG